UACGUAGGGGGCAAGCGUUGUCCGGAAUCAUUGGGCGUAAAGAGCGUGUAGGCGGCCCGGUAAGUCCGCUGUAAAAGUCAAAGGCUCAACCUUUGAAUGUCAGUGGAUACUGCCGGGCUAGAGUCCGGAAGAGGCGAGUGGAACUCCUGGUGUAGCGGUGGAAUGCGCAGAUAUCAGGAAGAACACCAACGGCGAAGGCAGCUCGCUGGGACGGUACUGACGCUGAGGCGCGAAAGCCAGGGGAGCGAACGGG
rnacentral:rRNA from 1 species